AACGAACGCUGGCGGCAUGCCUAACACAUGCAAGUCGAACGAGAUCUUCGGGUCUAGUGGCGCACGGGUGCGUAACGCGUGGGAAUCUGCCCUUUGGUUCGGAAUAACAGUUGGAAACGACUGCUAAUACCGGAUGAUGACGAAAGUCCAAAGAUUUAUCGCCAGAGGAUGAGCCCGCGUAGGAUUAGCUAGUUGGUGUGGUAAAGGCGCACCAAGGCGACGAUCCUUAGCUGGUCUGAGAGGAUGAUCAGCCACACUGGGACUGGGACACGGCCCAGACUCCUACGGGAGGCAGCAGUGGGGAAUAUUGGACAAUGGGCGAAAGCCUGAUCCAGCAAUGCCGCGUGAGUGGUGAAGGCCUUAGGGUUGUAAAGCUCUUUUACCCGGGAUGAUAAUGACAGUACCGGGAGAAUAAGCUCCGGCUAACUCCGUGCCAGCCGCCGCAGUAA
rnacentral:rRNA from 1 species